GACGAACGCUGGCGGCGUGCCUAAUACAUGCAAGUUGAGCGCUGAAGGUUGGUACUUGUACCAACUGGAUGAGCAGCGAACGGGUGAGUAACGCGUGGGGAAUCUGCCUUUGAGCGGGGGACAACAUUUGGAAACGAAUGCUAAUACCGCAUAAAAACUUUAAACACAAGUUUUAAGUUUGAAAGAUGCAAUUGCAUCACUCAAAGAUGAUCCCGCGUUGUAUUAGCUAGUUGGUGAGGUAAAGGCUCACCAAGGCAAUGAUACAUAGCCGACCUGAGAGGGUGAUCGGCCACAUUGGGACUGAGACACGGCCCAAACUCCUGCGGGAGGCAGCAGUAGGGAAUCUUCGGCAAUGGACGAAAGUCUGACCGAACAACGCCGCGUGAGUGAAGAAGGUAUUCGGAUCGUAAAACUCGGUUGGUAGAGAAGAACGUUGGUGAGAGUGGAAAGCUCAUCAAGUGACGGUAACUACCCAGAAAGGGACGGCUAACUACGUG
rnacentral:rRNA from 1 species